rnacentral:piRNA from 1 species
UCCUGUUGGUCUUGGAGCCCCUGGACUGU